GACGUAGGGCGCGAGCGUUGUCCGGAUUUAUUGGGCGUAAGAGCUCGUAGGCGGCUUGUCGCGUCGAAUGUGAAAACCCACAGCUCAACUGUGGGCUUGCAUUCGAUACGGGCAGGCUAGAGUUCGGUAGGGGAGACUGGAAUUCCUGGUGUAGCGGUGAAAUGCGCAGAUAGUCAGGAGGAACACCGGUGGCGAAGGCGGGUCUCUGGGCCGA
rnacentral:rRNA from 1 species